UACUGUGGAUGAGCAGGACAGUACACUGAUUUCAUUUUACAAAAUGAACAGUGCUAACUGGUCAGAUCCAUUGAGAUGUAGCUUGAUAGGAGAUGCAGCUGUUGGCAAAGGAGUCAAACGUCAUGUUUUGUCAAUGGUGAUGCAAAAACUGAAGACUGGCUUCACUUUAAAUUUGGGUUCUUCUACCACAGCCCUUUUUGAGGGGGAAAAAAACCACCGUGUCCCUUCUGCAUCUGCUGUACUACGGGACAGCAACUUGUUCCAAAUGGCUGGCCGAAUG